rnacentral:ribozyme from 14 species
UAUUCUUAUAUUAAUCACUUUCUUCUUCUUUUCUCUUCUUCUUCUUUUUUGGUUCCUUCUCCUUUUUUUGC